rnacentral:rRNA from 1 species
GAACGCCCACUUCGGUGGGAGUGGCAGACGGGUGAGGAACACGUGGGAACCUACCUAGAGGUACGGAAUAACUUCGGGAAACCGGAACUAAUACCGUAUACGCCCUCCGGGGGAAAGAUUUAUCGCCUUUAGAUGGGCCCGCGUCUGAUUAGCUUGUUGGUGAGGUAAUGGCUCACCAAGGCGACGAUCAGUAGCUGGUUUGAGAGGAUGAUCAGCCACACUGGGACUGAGACACGGCCCAGACUCCUACGGGAGGCAGCAGUGGGGAAUAUUGGACAAUGGGCGCAAGCCUGAUCCAGCCAUGCCGCGUGAGUGACGAAGGCCUUAGGGUUGUAAAACUCUUUCAGCAGGGAAGAUAAUGACGGUACCUGCAGAAGAAGCCCCGGCUAACUCCGUGCCAGCAGCCGCGGUAAUACGGAGGGGGCUAGCGUUGUUCGGAAUCACUGGGCGUAAAGCGCGCGUAGGCGGGCUGGUCAGUUGAGGGUGAAAUCCCGGGGCUUAACCUCGGAACUGCCUUCAAUACUGCCAGUCUUGAGUUCGAGAGAGGUGAGUGGAAUUCCUAGUGUAGAGGUGAAAUUCGUAGAUAUUAGGAAGAACACCAGUGGCGAAGGCGGC